CCGCCGCCCUCACCGGUCGCCGCUGCCGUCGGUUUCCCCUACAUGGCCGGAGGAUAGGCCAUCCCGCCGGUCCAUUCCCGCCCCACCGCGAGGGAGGAGACCGACCAGUUGCGCCUCCCCGCCGGUCGCCGCCAGCCACCCCAAGCUAUGACGUACCCCGCCGCCAGGAGGCCAGGAGGCCGCCAUGGAGGCCCGUCCCGAGCUCACCUCGCUGCUCCUCCGGUGACCCUCGUUGCGCCUGGAUCCCCCUCCCAUGGCGGAUGAAUCGACUGUAGUGUGCAGCAGAUCGGACAGCUGUAGUCGUCCAUGAGGCUGCUGGCGGAUGCUCUGUGGAGGAAGGACGGUCCCCAGAACAUAAUGCAGUAGUCGCCCACUUAGUACUCUGAUUGCUCGUGAAGGCAAGGUCUUGCGUGAAGGUCAUCCUCCUAUAUCGCUGUGUCAGGCACUCUGAUUGCUCGUAUUGAUCGGAGUUAGAAAAGAGGAACCCAGAUUUUUGUCCGUGAACUGUAAGCAGCAACAAGAUCUUGCAAUUUCUAAUUUUCUUUUCUAGCCAUCUACGUGAUUCAGGUGCCUGGUUCCGUGCCCUCCUUUGCAUUUUUUUUAGUUCAAUCAGCAGCGUUCUUAGUUUCUUCUAUCAUAUGUUUGUGUGCUAAUUCCAUGCCUUGCUCCAGUAACUAACAAGACUGCUCUUAAUUUACCAAGAUGUCAUCUAGAAUGUAUCCAUCUGCUAAUGACUUGAUGGAGUCAUAGAAAUGCGCUAUUGACACUUUUUUAGAACAGAUGCAACUGCUUGUAAUUCUGAAUAAUUAGCUUUAGUUACUGUUAAAAACAACCUGUGAAAAAAUUCUUGACUGGCCCUGCUCACGAGAGCCGAAAUCCCUGGGCCCCCGAAAUUUCUUGACUGGCCCUGCUCACGAGAGCCGAAAUCCCUGGAGGCUGGAGUGGUAGAUGAUCUCAUGCGACAGUGGGUUGAAAAUGAGCUAGACGCUCGUGCCGGCGGUUUCGAACGCGUGCUGCCGGUCGGCUCCUUGUGUCCUCCAGUGGCUUCCAUUGAGGUAGGCUUUGUGGAGGCAUGUGUAUGGGCUGUAGUCUGUAGAGUUAGUCGUGCGUCGGUGCUCACCAGGUUCAUCCUGUGGCAUUUCUUGGAGCAGAUACGGUCGACAUGUAUGCUGGGAGCAUGCUAAUGGGGGCACCUAAAGUGUUCGACGGAAUGGCUAUCAUAUUGGUGCUUUACCAUCUCACCUCACCACCACGUGAUCAAAACCACCUACCAGAGCAUCGGGGUUGAUUUGUCUGGUUUUAGAAAGUAGAGGGGAUUAAGAUCCCGGUUUUAGAGGUCAGGGCCUCAGGGGGCUAUGUGGCCAAAAUGUAAUACUUAUGGGGUCAUAUACACUUUUUUUCUUAAAUCUAAUAGGUUUCUUCCUCAGUGAUAUCCCAAAUUAUCCCACCAAGAAAGAUGGCCGCAUCGUCCUGGCCUGCGCUCCCGGCCACCCGGCGGGAUGUCGAGGCUGUCGUUGCCAAGGACGUGGAGCUGCACUGGCCUCUAUUGGUGCACCGUGCCCAAUGUUAGUGCUGCCAAUAUUGCUUAUUUGAUCAACUUCAGGUCUGCAAUAGUCUAAUCAGCUCUUUUUAGAGAUAUAGACUAAUCAAUACAGUAGCUUAAUAACUUGUAAUCACUAGGGCCAAUUAGCUGAUGGGAGACAGGGAGAACGAAGGUUGACGAGGCUUAGGCAGUCUGCUGACAGGAAAUGCAAUAGUGAUUUCGCAAGAGAAAUGGAGGUGAUGGCUAGGCUCUGGCACGACAAUGUUGUCCGCCUCCUUGCUUACUUCAGUGAAUGCGAUGAGCGGAUACUCAUAUAUAGCUAUAUGUCGAACAACAGCAUGGAUCUCUGCUUAUACUUCUAUAUUUUUUCUUGCAUAUGCUCAGAAUUUGGAUCACAAUAGUAAAUAGAUCAUUAGGUUCUCUUCUAUAAUUGUUGGUUGUUGUUGUUCUGUGCUCCAACACAUACGAGCAGCUCAUUGUUGCACGGAGAUAAGUUUCAUGCACAUAAUUAAAGUUCCGGAUAACCGAAGUACAAAUCUGUAAAUACCUUUAGAUAAAGCUUGUAUGCUUGACAUGCUUGACCAUGUAAAAGCUCAUGCAUGAGUAAUUAUAUCAUCAGGUUAUUCUUUUUAUCUGCAAGGUGAGCUUCAAGAUUCUGUAAACUAGCAUUUCCAAUAGUUUAGAGCUGCCACUUUACUUUCAGUAUUUAGGUGGAUGAUCUCUGUUUAAAUUCCUAAUACAAGUAAUGCACUCCGGCAAGUUCUAUUUAUUUGUGCCCUUGCUGCAAAUAGAUGUAAUUUUAUCGCGAGCACCCAAGUACAGCAGCACUAUUGUCGUUCAUUAUUGUUGGCUUAUGCCCUAGAGAGAAAAUAAUUAGCAUUUACCUCUGUGUACCGGACUGUAGUUGUACCAUAUGCCUAUUGUAUCAUUUUCAUCCUUGAUAGAUGCAGCGAGUAAGUCGGACCCUUCCCUGGACCCUGCGCAAGCGGGAGCUACAUGCACCAGGUUGCCCCUUUAUAGAUGCAGCGAGUAAAUUGUCACUGAAAAAUGUUGUGGUUGCAGCGUUUGUUUUGUUAAUUCUGCAUUCCUUCCUUUAUGAGAAAGUGUUACUUCUGCGUUAGUUAUAUGUUAUGUUUCUCUAUGUCCAAUUCUUGUAUUGACUUCAGAUUGUGGAGAAGCAUGUCUGCUCCCAGUGGAGAGGACUUUCAGAAAGACAACUUAGACACUUGCUUUAGCAUUCACGUUUACUAUUUUUGUAAAAAUAUUCAUACGUGUGUUUGAAUUGUUUUUAGUAGCUGUCUUUAUUACUCUCUCUGAUUGAAAAAAAAAAUCGGAUGCUGCCUACAGCAAGUCCGUUUGUCAUCAGCGCCUUUCUUUGCUUGGUAGCUCCACAUCCAAUCUUUCAAGCUACAUCCAUAUGUAAGAAAGUUACAAUUAAUCCAGUACUAAUAGUUUUGUACGUACGUAUAUGCGCACUCACCCCUUCUAUAUACAUAUGAUUCAGGAGCAUCUUUUACUAGCAUUUUGUUUCAUUGCCCCAUACAAAAUGUAUGCAAGUGAUGUCUAUUGUUACAGAAGCAUGUCUUGAAUAAAAGCUGGUUGGCGUAGCACGGGCAUCUUGCUAGUUAGUACAUAUAUGCCUUGAUCAUGCUUUUCUUCCUUUGUGUGUUACAACAAACCGUGCAUACAGUUGUGAAUUGUGAAAAGCAUAUAUAGCUGUGCUAUAGAUUGAAAAUCUAAGUAAACAAAAACAAUCAAACUUCUUUAGGCAAUAAGAAAUCCAAUUAGUAAACAACAAAGGAAUACAAUUCCAUAGUUCCACAAAUAACCAUUGCAGAGGUUUGAUUGUUUAGGCAAGAUGCUUACUGCUCUCUGCCAUUCGUCCGAGUAGAUCAGUUCAGUCUGUUUGUUUAUUAUUAAGUACUUGAUGUAGCUAGCUUUAAGGUUUCCAUCCGUUCUUCAUUCUAGGCUAACAACUAAUUUAUGCUUUUUUUAUAUAGGCUAUAAUUUCCAAUAUUUAUGUUUGCUAUAUUUGUUUUUUUCCUGAACAUAUAGCCAGACAUUAGGAGUAAAGGGCUCCAAGGUGGCGCAAUGGUUUACAAGAAAACAUCCAAAUGGAGAAGAGCAAAAAUCGCUAAGGCUGUGUAUCUUUCUCACUUGCUCUUUCAAACACAAUAAUUCUUUAUAUUAUUCCCCCCUUUUUAUUUGUUAAAGCACAAUUAAUUAUCGACGAGAAUGUAGGGGCAACGGAACAUUUCAUGUCUGACAUGCUAUUUUGGUUUGAACAUAGCUAUAUUAAGUAAGUUACUCUGACCACAUCGAUACCGAUGUUGUAUGUAUCAAAAGUCAUCCUUCUACGUGGAUUAAUAAAGAAGGAUGAGAUGGUCACAACUGACACUUUAGCAACAUACUAAAUUCUACACAUUGCAUAGUAGUAGUAGUAUUUUUCACUGCGAAAAGCAACCCUGAAUUAGUUUUCAAAAUUAUAUUUCAUGGCUUUCAAAGUUUUAAUAUGAUUGUUGUUGCUAUCUGCCAUGUCGCAAAUGUCGGCCGGUGCACACCAUGUUGCAUGCUGUUCCGUGAUUUCUUAGGUACUCUACAAUUUACUACCUGACAUGAGUUACCACUGUAUUUUCUUCUUCUAAUUACAACAUGUAGAAAUGUGUGUUAAGAGUUCAAUCAUAUACAAAGAUGCCUAUAUGUUGUUUUUGGUUUUACCUGCAUAAAACUAAAAUGGUUCUCUCCUAACAGAGAGGCAGUGGAUAUGUGCUUCUCAAUCAAGGAGCUUUUGUCAAACCGGGUAUGCAACCAUGCACGUUGUAGUUCAUACUAUAUGGAAUUUACUUUCAGUAGGAAUGUGAGUAUGUUGCUCCGGUGAUAGUAAGCAUUUGCAUUGUUUCAAUACAUAUCACAAGUCUUAUUUUACAGAUAUAAGUUGCAUCAUAAUAAUCUUCACAUUUUAGUUGCAUCAUAAUAAUCUUCUUCUAGUCUUCUUCUUCUAACUUUCUUCUUUCCCAUUUUGUAGAUUUGCUUUAGAUCACGGAAGCUUGGGUUGAUGGAGUGCUUGUCUUUAGUUUUUGUUUUGACUUUGUGAAACUUGCUACCUAUGAUGAAACUAUGUAAUAUUGAUGAAACUAUGUAUAUGUAUUGAUGAAACUUGCUACUAUUGGUAA
rnacentral:rRNA from 1 species